GACGAACGCUGGCGGCGUGCUUAACACAUGCCAGUCGAACGGAAAGGCCCUGCUUUUGUGGGGUGCUCGAGUGGCGAACGGGUGAGUAACACGUGAGUAACCUGCCCUUGACUUUGGGAUAACUUCAGGAAACUGGGGCUAAUACCGGAUAGGAGCUCCUGCUGCAUGGUGGGGGUUGGAAAGUUUCGGCGGUUGGGGAUGGACUCGCGGCUUAUCAGCUUGUUGGUGGGGUAGUGGCUUACCAAGGCUUUGACGGGUAGCCGGCCUGAGAGGGUGACCGGCCACAUUGGGACUGAGAUACGGCCCAGCCUCCUGCGGGAGGCAGCAGUGGGGAAUAUUGCACAAUGGGCGGAAGCCUGAUGCAGCAACGCCGCGUGCGGGAUGACGGCCUUCGGGUUGUAAACCGCUUUCGCCUGUGACGAAGCGUGAGUGACGGUAAUGGGUAAAGAAGCACCGGCUAACUACGUG
rnacentral:rRNA from 1 species